UUAUACCCCAAAAAGGACAAAAUGAUUACAAAAAUUCAAAAUGACAAAAAUAAACUUUUUUUUAAGAACCAAGUGGGCCCAUAAAAGAGGUUAAUUUAAGUGACUUUUGAGUAGAGUUUUGUUAACAAAACAUAACUCAACAAACACACCCGCCCAAAUGAGAAACAGCUCCAGUUAUAUAGCAAAUGAAUAAACCAUUAUAUACACCAAAGGUGAAAACUAGAGAGAUAACAGCUAACCAUCAUUCAAGAAGAACCCCAUUUCCCCCUACAUGAUCACAAUAGAUGGUCCAGUCCAUUUUAUUGGCUUCUGCAUUUAAACCAGCUCCACCCUCAGCCUCCUCUUUCACCCAAUCCAGGAAGGACUGGAGCAGAGGCCAGAACAAUUUUUAUUCAGCCUCAUUCUUUACAGCUAUAUAACCUUUAUUCCCUGGAGGGAAUUCAGUUUUCAGGGAUGAUGACAUUGCCUAUAAUAAGGUUCAGCGCACAUUGGCCUUCCUAUCAAGCCAAUCCUCUGGUGCUGGUUCAGCUUCAGCUGAGAUGGGUCUCUCACCCAUGGGUCCACAGAGAUGGGCAUGGCACGGGUCGGUGCCGAAAUGGGUUGAAUGACUGCACAUCGCCCUGGAGUGUCAAGCAUAACGUCAUCCAGUGACAGCCCUUUCAAGGUCAUUACUGCCCUACUGGUCUGUAGCUCCGCUCCACUUUGGAGCACGCUCAUAUGCAGUGUGAACUGAAACAUUUCUAGUAUUGAGGUUUUCCACAUUUUUCCUAAGAGUGGACUCGGAAUACUGGCCAGCCCUCAGUCCUCAUGAACAUCAAUGAGCCUUGGCUGCUCAUGAAUAUGGCACAGAUUCACCAGUUGUCAUUCUUUGGACCAUUUUUAGUACAUUGGCUUCUAACCACUCCAUACCGAGAACACUCCAAAAGACCUGCUGUUUUUGAGAUGCUUGGACCCAGUCAUUUUGUCAUUACAAUUUGGCCCUUUUAAAAGUUGCUCAGAUCCUUACACUUGCAGUUUUCCCUGCUUCCAAUACACUGACUUCAAGAACCGUUCUCCAACUGCCUAAUAUAUCACAUCCCUUGGCAGGUACCGUUGUAUAAAGACAUUCGCAUUGACUGUCUUUGGUUUUACUGUUGUGGCAGACAUUUGAGAAUGAUCUCUGUACAGUACAUGGCAUUGAAAAGGUUCUGCAAAGUACUAAUGUCAUUUAUUAGCUUAGCUAGUCACAACAUGGACACCAGUAUGAAAAAUUACUUUAGAUCGGAGAUGUCAGCACUCACACUGCCAGCCAGAACUGGCUUGCAAAAAUCCUACUAUUUUGUAGAGUGGAAAACUGUUGAUGAGGAUGAUAUCAUUUUCACUGGAUUGUGCACCAGGAACCAUUGUCUCUUAAGUCAUUAUACUGUAUAUAAAUGACACAAGAGUAGUUGUCCAGGAUGUCAUUUUCAUCCUAGCACGUCCUACAACAAACAGAUUACUGAACACAUAUUUUACAUAAGAUAUCUCAGGUUAAAGCACAUUUGACUUGUACAUGAUGCUUUCAUUAAAGAAUAUCCUUCUACUUUUAAAACACUAAAGGGAAAUAAUAUUUUUGAAGGUUUGUUUAAUAGAGUGUUGCAAUGGUUUUGUCAGCAAGGCCUACUUGAGAUCAAAUUGGACUCUAUGAAUU